rnacentral:sRNA from 1 species
GCAACCCGAUGUCGGGGGCUUGGGCGGAAGCCCACGUUGCCCGACAAAAAACGUACCCCCGGCGCGGUCUGCGCCAAGGAAUCGAAAUGAAGCAACGUGAGCAGUCCGCCCCGUUCGCGGGAAGUGGACGGCAACACGGUCUUCCAAUGUAUACUAAACGACUCUCGGCAACGGAUAUCUCGGCUCUCGCAUCGAUGAAGAACGUAGCGAAAUGCGAUACUUGGUGUGAAUUGCAGAAUCCCGUGAACCAUCGAGUUUUUGAACGCAAGUUGCGCCCGAAGCCAUUAGGCCGAGGGCACGCCUGCCUGGGCGUCACGCGCUCCGUCGCCCCGCAACCCCGAACCCCGAAACGGGCCAGGGURCUUGUGGUGCGGAGAUUGGUCUCCCGUGUGCCUUGCUCGCGGCUGGCCUAAAAUUGAGUCCCGGGCGCUCUGUUCUGCGGCCGACGGUGGUUGAGAAGCCCUCGAAAUUGUGCUGCUGCAGUGCUGCCCGAUGCGGACCCUGUGACCCUUGCGCGACCUCUCCCCUUGGGGUGAGGGAGCUCCAUCUGA